rnacentral:misc_RNA from 1 species
GCACUUAACAUUUGUCACUCGUUGACUGCAAUCAGGUCAGGUUAGUUGUACGCAAUUUUUUCUUCUUUUUCAUCACUCAACGUGAAUGUAGGAGCAGUGUAUGUUUUGAGCUUUUCUCUCCAUAUCUUUUGUGUUUCGUAAUACUAUAACGUUAUUAUUACAUUUCUUAACUGAAAUGAGUUGCAAGUUGUUAUAUAUAAAGGUGAACGAAUCAUUUUCAUAAAAGAGGUUAUCCUCCACGUGGAAAUAUUGUUAAUUACAACAAUUUUUAAACAUAUUUACGAAUGUAUACUUCGACUUUAGCAAUAGAAUGUCUAACGAAAAACCUUGUCGUGCAUGUAUGGAUUUUAAAUCAUGGGCAAAAAGUCAAAGAAAGACUUUGGAAUCCGAAAAGGAAUCUGAGGAAAAGAAAAAGAAAAAUCCAUCUGUAAAUAAAGUGAAACGUAAUGAUUGUCCAUUAGAUAAAGAUGAAUUAGGUUCAGUAACAUGGUCAUUUUUACAUACUAUGGCAGCAUAUUAUCCUAAUAAUCCAAGUGAAGAACAAAAGUCAGAUAUGAAACAGUUUUUUCAUAUAUUUUCUAAGUUUUAUCCUUGCAAUGUAUGUGCAGAAGAUUUACAGGAACAAUUAAAACAUUCCCCACCAGAAACUAAUUCACAGGAACAGUUGAGCCAAUGGCUUUGUAAAAUACAUAAUGAGGUAAAUAGAAAACUUGGAAAACCAGAAUUUGAUUGUAAACUUGUUAAUCAAAAAUGGAAAUAUGGUUGGCUUGAUGGUUCAUGUGAUUGAUGAUCACUAAUUACAAUUGUAAAUUUUGUAAUGAAACCUAUAUGUGAUAUAAAACAUCAUGUAUAUGCUUAUUAUUAAGAUUGUAAAAUAGAUGGUGUUAAAUGUGAAAUAGUGAAUGCAGAAUUUGCUGUUCUAAUAUUGGGUUCAUAACUGUGAUCUUGUCCUUCACCACCAAUUGGCAUAACUUGACAUGUUCUGAUAUGAAAUGGAAAACGUUUAUUAGCCAUAGAUGGCCUGGUGAUAUAUAAAAAUACUAUAUGUCCCAUAAAAACAGUCCAUAAUGAACAGCCUUUAGCAACACUUUCUCUUACCCAUUCAUCUACUAAUAAAGUAAUGCAGAGUACCUAUAAAAUAAAUAUAUUUUUAUAUAU